UCCAGACUCCUACGGGAGGCAGCAGUGAGGAAUAUUGGUCAAUGGCCGCAGGGCUGAACCAGCCAAGUCGCGUGAGGGAUGACGGUCCUAUGGAUUGUAAACCUCUUUUGUCAGGGAGCAAAGGGCGCCACGUGUGGCGCUUUGCGAGUACCUGAAGAAAAAGCAUCGGCUAACUCCGUGCCAGCAGCCGCGGUAAUACGGAGGAUGCGAGCGUUAUCCGGAUUUAUUGGGUUUAAAGGGUGCGCAGGCGGAAUGUCAAGUCAGCGGUAAAAUUUCGGGGCUCAACCCCGUCGUGCCGUUGAAACUGGCGUUCUUGAGUGAGCGAGAAGUAUGCGGAAUGCGUGGUGUAGCGGUGAAAUGCAUAGAUAUCACGAAGAACUCCGAUUGCGAAGGCAGCAUACCGGCUCCAUACUGACGCUGAGGCACGAAAGCGUGGGGAUCGAACAGGAUUAGAUACCCGGGUAC
rnacentral:rRNA from 1 species